rnacentral:rRNA from 1 species
GGACCAGACUCCUACGGGAGGCAGCAGUGGGGAAUCUUCCGCAAUGGGAGCAAGCCUGACGGAGCAACGCCGCGUGAAUGAAGAAGGUCUUCGGAUCGUAAAGUUCUGUUCUUAGGGAAGAAGUCUUUUCUUGUGAAUAAUGGGAGAAGGUGACGGUACCUAUGGAGAAAGCUCCGGCUAACUACGUGCCAGCAGCCGCGGUAAUACGUAGGGAGCGAGCGUUAUCCGGAAUGAUUGGGCGUAAAGGGUGCGCAGGCGGUCCUGCAAGUCUGGAGUGAAACGCAUGAGCUCAACUCAUGCAUGGCUUUGGAAACUGGAGGACUGGAGAGCAGGAGAGGGCAGUGGAACUCCAUGUGUAGCGGUAAAAUGCGUAGAUAUAUGGAAGAACACCAGUGGCGAAGGCGGCCGCCUGGCCUGUUGCUGACGCUGAGGCACGAAAGCGUGGGGAGCAAAUAGGAUUAGAUACCCCGGUAA